UCAUCUUCGGGGGUAGAGCACUGUUUCGGCUAGGGGGUCAUCCCGACUUACCAACCCGAUGCAAACUACGAAUACCGAAGAAUGUUAUCACGGGAGACACACGGCGGGUGCUAACGUCCGUCGUGAAGAGGGAAACAACCCAGACCGCCAGCUAAGGUCCCAAAGUCAUGGUUAAGUGGGAAACGAUGUGGGAAGGCCCAGACAGCCAGGAUGUUGGCUUAGAAGCAGCCAUCAUUUAAAGAAAGCGUAAUAGCUCACUGGUCGAGUCGGCCUGCGCGGAAGAUGUAACGGGGCUAAACCAUGCACCGAAGCUGCGGCAGCGACACUAUGUGUUGUUGGGUAGGGGAGCGUUCUGUAAGCCGUUGAAGGUGGCCUGUGAGGGUUGCUGGAGGUAUCAGAAGUGCGAAUGCUGACAUAAGUAACGAUAAUGCGGGUGAAAAACCCGCACGCCGGAAGACCAAGGGUUCCUGUCCAACGUUAAUCGGGGCAGGGUGAGUCGACCCCUAAGGCGAGGCCGAAAGGCGUAGUCGAUGGGAAACAGGUUAAUAUUCCUGUACUUGGUGUUACUGCGAAGGGGGGACGGAGAAGGCUAUGUUGGCCGGGCGACGGUUGUCCCGGUUUAAGCAUGUAGGCGGAUGUUCCAGGUAAAUCCGGAACGU
rnacentral:rRNA from 1 species